CAGAUAGCUUUGUUAAUUUUUCUCCAUAUUAGUUCCCAAAAUUCACAUAAUUGAUAGCAUCUGCAAGCAAGGAGGCCAUGGCCAUGCCUGAAGCAGAAGUCAAAUCUUUGAUUAUACUUGCAAUAUUUAAAUAUACAAUCGUUUUUACUGAGCAGGGUCAGUUUAAUGAUCUUCAGAUGUCAGCAUAUUUUGUUUCCUAAUUGUUUGGAUUUAAUGUAAUUUUUGAAUUGUUCAAGAUUUUAUGCUUUAUACUGGUAAAUAAAGAUAAUCUUUAUCUUUUUGAGAAAUAACUUUCUCCUUUUUUUCACAUGAUAGAUAGACAGGUUUGGGCAUUUCAAAAUUUGGCAUGGUGCAGGAUCUGUUUUAGUCGCUGUUUCAUUUUCUUCUGUUUUUGGCGGUUGCCUGCCUUGCAAGAUCCUUGGCACCAAUUCAUUUACUGUGCAAACUAUUGGAUACAGCAUUUUUGCAGCUAUCUUCAAUGUGGGUUGGGCUGCAACUCAAGUUUCACACAUGUCUAUGGUGAAUUGCAUCAUGCUGAAUUCAACAAGUAGAGUAAUUUUGGCUAGUUGUCGCAAUGCUUUUACAAUGGUCGCCAACCUAAGCCUGUAUUGAGUUGCUUUUAUAGUAUUCCGAUUCAAUACAUCAAGGACACUUGCUGAUGUUGAAAGUCAGUACCGCUGGAUAGCACAUUUGUCAAUUUUUAUUGAAUGCUGAUUCGUUGGCAUAUUUCUUCUUGGAACCAAAGAGCCAAGGUU